GUGAAGUCCGCGGAGUGGGCGCUGAUGGUGGGGCUAUCCCUUCCCACUGUCCGCGAGGUUCAAGUUUGAGGCAUUAAGAAGGAUAAGACAUCAAUUUGAAAAGAGCCCCUGUCAGAGCAACAUGACUUGAAAGCAAGAAGAAAAAACAAAAAAUGAAGCAAGAACAAACAUCAAAUUUAUGCUGAGUUUGGCUGCAAGAAUGGUGAAAUCAUUGAUACUUUACAAGACACUAAUCAGGACAGUGCCCCAAAGGAAUCAGCAGUUUACAAAUGGAUAUAACCUGUUUUCAGAAGAGACAAGAUUAAUUUGAAGAUGAAGCAGUGGCGGACCAUCCAUGUCAAUUUAUGAGAAAAAAAUUCAUUCUGUUCAUGCCCUAACUGAAGAGGACUGACAACAGCACAAACAAUAGCCAACAUCAUAGACAUCUCAACUGGUUCAGCUUACUCAAUUCUGACUGAAAGUUAAAGUUGAGCAAACUUUCCACUCAAUGAGUGUCGAAACCCUCAUGCCCAGAUCAGCUGCAGACAAGAGCAGAGGUUUCAAUGGAAAUUUUAAACAAGUGAGAUUAAGAUCCUGAAGCAUUUCUUGAAAGAAUUGUAACAGGAGAUAAACCAUGGCUUCACCAGUACAAUACUGAAGACUAAGCACAAUCAAAGCAAUGGCUACCAAGAGGCCGAAGUGGUCCCAUUAAGGCGAAAGUGGACCAGUCAAGAGCAAAGGUCAUGGCAACAGUGUUUUGGGAUGCCAAGACAUUUUGCUCGUUGACUUUCUGGAGGGCCAAAGUGCAGUAAUGUCUGUUUAUUAUGUUUUGAGAAAGUUGGCCAAACCUUUAGUAGAAAAAUGCCCAGGAGAACUUCACUAGAGUGACCUUCGUUCAAUUUCAGAUCACCACAAUAAAGCAAAAAAUUGCAAUUAUAAAUUUUUUGGUUUCCCAGUACAUGUAAAAGUUAUAAUUACACUAUACUAUAGUCUAUUAAGGGUGCAAUAGCAUUAUGUCUGAAAAAAACAAUGGUCAUGCCUUAAUUUAAAAAUACUUUAUUACUAAAAAAUGCUAGCAAUCAUCUGAACCUUCAGUGAGUCAUAAUAUUUUUGCUAGUGGAGGGCCUUGCCUGGAUGUUGAUGGCUGCUGACUGAUCAGGAUGGUGGUUGCUGAAGGUUAGGGUGGCUGCAGCAAUUUCUUAACAUAAGACAACAGUGAAGUUUCCUGCAUUGAUUGACUCUUCCUUUCAUGAAAUAUUUCUCUAUAGCAUGUAAUGCUGUUUGAUAGCAUUUUACCCACAGUAGAAUUUAUUUCAGAAUUGAAGUCAGUCCUCUUAAACCCUGUCACUUCUUUAUUAACUAAGUUCACGCAAUAUUCUAAAUCCUUUGUUGUCAUUUCAACAAUGUUCACAACAUCUUCACCAGGGAUAGAUUCUGUCUCAAGAAACCACUUUCUUUGUUCAUUCGUAAGAAGCAACCCCUCAUCUGUUCAAGUUUUCUCAUGAGAUUGGAGCAAUUCAGUCACAUUUUCAGGCUGCAUUUUUAAUUCUAGUUCUCUUGCUAUUUCUACCACAUCUGCAGUUACUUCCUUCACUGAAGGCUUGAACCCCUCAAAGUCACCCAUGAGGGUUGGAAUCAACUUCUUCCAAAUUCCUGUUAAUGUUGAUGUUUUGACCUCCUCUCAUGAAUGAUGAAUGUUUUUAAUGACAUCUAAAAUGGUCAGUCCUUUCCAGAAGGUUUUCAAUUUACUUUGCCCCAAUCCAUCAGAGGAAUCACUGUCUAUGGCAACUGUAGGCUUAUAAAAGGUAUUUCUUAAAUAAUAUGUCUUGAAAGUCUAAAUGACUCCUUGAUCCAUAAGCUGCAGAAUGGGUGUUGUGUUAGCAAGCAUGAAAACAACAUUCAUCUUGUGCCUCUCCAUCUGAGCUCUUCUAUGACCAGGUGCCUUGUUGAUGAGCAGUAAUAUUUUGAAAGAAAUCUUUUUUCCUGAGCAGUGGGUCUCAACAAUGGGCUUAAAAUGUUCAUUAAGCCAUGCUGUAAACAGAUGUGCUAUCAUCCAGGCUUUGAUGUUCCUUAUACAGAGUACAGGCACAGGCAGAGUAGAUUUAGUAUAAUUCUUAAGGGCCCUUGGAUUUUCAGAAUGGUAAGUGAACAUUGGUGUGAACUUAAGGUCACCAGCUGCAUUAGCCCCUAA
rnacentral:lncRNA from 1 species